rnacentral:rRNA from 1 species
CACGUAGGGGCCGAGCGUUGUCCGGAGGUACUGGGCGUAAAGGGCGCGCAGGCGGCCUGCUGCAUCACCGGUGAAAGCCCCGCGCUCAACGCGGGAGGGUCCGGUGAGAUGAGCAGGCUGGAGGCAGGGCGAGGGCGGUGGAAUUCCGGGUGUAGUGGUGAAAUGCGUAGAGAUCCGGAGGAACACCAGUGGCGAAGGCGGCCGCCUGGACCUGACCUGACGCUGAGGCGCGAAGGCGUGGGGGAGCGAACGGGG